ACGGAGGGUGCAAGCGUUAUCCGGAUUUACUGGGUUUAAAGGGUGCGUAGGUGGACUUGUAAGUCAGUGGUGAAAUCUCCGGGCUUAACCCGGAAACUGCCAUUGAUACUAUAAGUCUUGAAUUAUCUGGAGGUAAGCGGAAUAUGUCAUGUAGCGGUGAAAUGCUUAGAUAUGACAUAGAACACCAAUUGCGAAGGCAGCUUACUACGGAUAUAUUGACACUGAGGCACGAAAGCGUGGGGAUCAAACAGGAUUAGAUACCCUGGUAGUCCACGCCCUAAACGAUGGAUACUCGACAUCAGCGAUACACUGUUGGUGUCUGAGCGAAAGCAUUAAGUAUCCCACCUGGGAAGUACGAUCGCAAGAUUG
rnacentral:rRNA from 1 species